UGCUAUUUUUAAAUUUUCUGUUUUUGUUCUACAUCUUUGUUUUAAAUGAUAAAAUGCAAGUAUUAUGAAAAAGGCCUAGAAAUGAUAAAUGCUUAAAAUAAAUGUUACAAACAAAUAUGGCUAUUGGUUCUCUGAUAUUUUACCCCCGCACGUUAUCAGCUACAAAACGAAAUCAGUGCGGAUAAGUGUCUGUAUCUUCGCGGUUUUAGUGGACGAUAAGAGAAAAUUUAGAUAAAAGCAGCAGAGUCGACAUGGCUG